rnacentral:tRNA from 1 species
GCCCUGGUGGUCUAGUGGUAUGAUUGUCGCUUCGGGUGGAAUUCCCCAUCACGUGAACGUGGAUGUGACAGGUCCCGGGUUCAAAUCCCGGCUAGGGCC